GACGAACGCUGGCGGCGUGCUUAACACAUGCAAGUCGAACGGAAAGGCCCUGCUUUUGUGGGGUGCUCGAGUGGCGAGCGGGUGAGUAACACGUGAGUAACCUGCCCUUGACUUUGGGAUAACUUCACGAAACUGGAGCUAAUACCGUAUAGGAGAUCCUGCUGCAUGGUGGGGGUUGGACAGUUUCGGCGGUUGGGGCUGGACUCGCGGCUUAUCAGCUUGUUGGUGGGGUAGUGGCUUACCAAGGCUUUGACGGGUAGCCGGCCUGAGAGGGUGACCGGCCACAUUGGGACUGAGAUACGGCGCAGACUCGUACGGGAGGCAGCAGUGGGGAAUAGUGCACAAUGGGCGGAAGCCUGAUGCAGCAACGCCGCGUGCGGGAUGACGGCCUUCCGGUUGUAAACCGCUUUCGCCUGUGACGAAGCGUGAGUGACGGUAAUGGGUAAAGAAGCACCGGCUAACUACGUG
rnacentral:rRNA from 1 species